AAGCAUAUCAAUAAGCGGAGGAAAAGAAACCAACAGGGAUUGCCCUAGUAACGGCGAGUGAAGCGGCAACAGCUCAAAUUUGAAAUCUGGCUUCGGCCCGAGUUGUAAUUUGCAGAGGAAGCUUUAGGCGCGGCACCUCCUGAGUCCCCUGGAACGGGGCGCCACAGAGGGUGAGAGCCCCGUAUAGUUGGAUGCCUAGCCUGUGUAAAGCUCCUUCGACGAGUCGAGUAGUUUGGGAAUGCUGCUCAAAAUGGGAGGUAAAUUUCUUCUAAAGCUAAAUACCGGCCAGAGACCGAUAGCGCACAAGUAGAGUGAUCGAAAGAUGAAAAGCACUUUGAAAAGAGGGUUAAAUAGCACGUGAAAUUGUUGAAAGGGAAGCGCUUGUGACCAGACUUGCGCCGGGCUGAUCAUCCGGUGUUCUCACCGGUGCACUCUGCCCGGCUCAGGCCAGCAUCGGUUCUCGCGGGGGGAUAAAGGCCCUGGGAACGUAGCUCCUCCGGGAGUGUUAUAGCCCGGGGCGCAAUGCCCUCGCGGGGACCGAGGUUCGCGCUCUGCAAGGAUGCUGGCGUAAUGGUCAUCAGCGACCCGUCUUGAAACACGGACCAAGGAGUCAAGGUUUUGCGCGAGUGUUUGGGUGUAAAACCCGCACGCGUAAUGAAAGUGAACGUAGGUGAGAGCUUCGGCGCAUCAUCGACCGAUCCUGAUGUUCUCGGAUGGAUUUGAGUAGGAGCGUUAAGCCUUGGACCCGAAAGAUGGUGAACUAUGCUUGGAUAGGGUGAAGCCAGAGGAAACUCUGGUGGAGGCUCGCAGCGGUUCUGACGUGCAAAUCGAUCGUCAAAUCUGAGCAUGGGGGCGAAAGACUAAUCGAACCAUCUAGUAGCUGGUUACCGC
rnacentral:rRNA from 1 species